CUCCUGGAAACGGGUGGUAAUGCCGGAUGUUCCAGUUGAUCGCAUGGUCUUCUGGGAAAGCUUUCGCGGUAUGGGAUGGGGUCGCGUCCUAUCAGCUUGACGGCGGGGUAACGGCCCACCGUGGCUUCGACGGGUGGCCGGCCUGAGAGGGCGACCGGCCACAUUGGGACUGAGAUACGGCCCAGACUCCUACGGGAGGCAGCAGUGGGGAAUAUUGCACAAUGGGCGCAAGCCUGAUGCAGCGACGCCGCGUGAGGGAUGGAGGCCUUCGGGUUGUAAACCUCUUUUAUCGGGGAGCAAGCGUGAGUGAGUUUACCCGUUGAAUAAGCACCGGCUAACUACGUGCCAGCAGCCGCGGUAAUACGUAGGGUGCAAGCGUUAUCCGGAAUUAUUGGGCGUAAAGGGCUCGUAGGCGGUUCGUCGCGUCCGGUGUGAAAGUCCAUCGCUUAACGGUGGAUCCGCGCCGGGUACGGGCGGGCUUGAGUGCGGUAGGGGAGACUGGAAUUCCCGGUGUAACGGUGGAAUGUGUAGAUAUCGGGAAGAACACC
rnacentral:rRNA from 1 species